ensembl:lncRNA
AGCUCGGGAACAUGAUGGGACGGUUGAGGGAUCCACCGAUGAUCUGAGAUCCUAGCAUGAAACCGGGUCUGGGAUCUGGAGGAUUUGCUGCUCAUGUAACCGCCGGUUUUAUUGCCUGCGUUCCUCCUCCGCUUGCCUUAUCUCCAUCCCCGCCUCCCCCUCCUUGACUUCGCAGGAGAAGAGCUGGCGCAACAGUGUCAGGCAUAACUUGUCCCUGAACGAAUGUUUCAUCAAGGCCGGGCGAAGCGACAACGGCAAAGGGCACUUCUGGGCCAUCCACCCGGCCAACCUGGAGGACUUCUCCAAGGGCGACUACCACCGGCGCCGAGCCCGGAGGCGCAUCCGCAGGAUGGCGGUGAACCUGAGCUAUUACCACCCGUACGCCUUCUACGGCUUGAGCUGCUGCCCAGGACGUCACUGCCUCUGCUGCCCUCCUUACGCGCACCCUGCUGGCCCCGGCCCUUCUGCGCAGUGCCAGCCUGGAUUCCCCCUUCUCCCCCUCUACCCGCCCGCCUCCCAGCGCCACCCCUACCUUCCCGCCGGCGCCCACAAGGGCCUGCAGGAGAAGCAGUUCAACUGGCCUUGGCACAGACCCCAUUUCCAUCACCCCCUGCAGGCUCCUCCGCACCUGUAACCUGCACUUCUCCAGCCUCCAGGGAGCCUUGUGCCACCAGGGAUCGUCCCAGCAAGGAGAUCUCUGGGUUCUUUUCCUCCUCUGCUUUGGAGCAGGCCCUGAACAGCUCAGCGGGGUCUGCCUUUGGGUCCCUGGGCCCUGGCCAUCCUCCCCCUUUGAAGAGGGUGGAGGUAGGGAAGUGACCUGGGCCUCCUACGACUUCACCCCCGAGUAGCCCUGCUCCCUUGGACUCCCUACAGCGAGGCAGGGGGGAGCUGCAGUAGCAGUCUGUCAUCCUGGCCCUACCUGCCCAGCGUCUUUAGCGGUUGAAUGCUGACGGGCUGCCCUUCCUCACGGGCUGGAGCAUUUCCUCGAGGCUGCUCCUUUCUGUGUCUCUCCAUGGUUUUGAUUUCAAAAGACAAGAGGCCUCCACAAGAUUGAAAGGGCCCUACAACUCCAUAGCACCCCACUGCUGUUAAACCAGCCACUCGGAUAGGAACUCAGCCUGCCAGCCACCUCUCGGACAUCUGUCCACCUCUGUAUUGCUCCAUGCAAUCCUCUCCCACCCUCCCGUCCGCUAGGUCUUCUGCAACAUGCUCAGAAGCUCGGCAAAUUCUGGUCGAGGAGCACCUCCGCGUUGGCCACUCCUGCUGUUGGGGCCCAGGCCAGUGGUAAAGGGAAGCACAGAGCCUGGCUCAAGCCUGGCUCGGCUCAGUGGCUGAUGCUUCGGGGGUGACUGUAACGUGCUGUGCUGGUGGGAGGAGACUGGCUCCGGCUCCUCGCUGGGCUGGGCAUUAGUAUGAUAUGCAGUUGUCUGCAUCACGCACCACUCUUGUGGGCAGCCGCUGGAGAGAGGCCAAGGACUGAAUGGACUCCGUUCUCCUGCUGGGCUGGGGCCAGAUGCAGGGCAGUUAUGUACCAGGGAUUAGCACCAUGAUGUAACCUGCAUCCCUUGAGGGCGAUGCUCUGUCCCCCCUCUUCUCCCCCCUGCCCCCCUGGGACGUCUGGGUCACGGAUAGGUGUUGGUGACCCAUCUGCAGCCGGGGCGAGCGGACAUGGGGGUGUCAGCUCAGGCAGCAGAGGGGCCUCUGUGUAGAGCCGGAGGUCCCACGUUCAAGCCCUGUUGCUAAUGACCGUUCCUGGGCCGCUCCCUCAUGGUCACAAGCAAAACCAUUUUCCAGUUGGGCAACUGAUCCGCUCGAUGUUUCCUUGUAGACUAAGCUCCUGAGAACCAGGGUUAGCCUGGCCCACACUCCCCUAUUUAGGACCAGGAAGCUGGGGCAGAAUUUGCACCCCUGCCGCUGCAAACCCACUGUGGAGGUGGAGCCAAAAGGUGUUUAGACCCCUGCCUCGUUCUCUCUCUAAUCUACAGAAGUGUAUUUGUUCGAUUAAGGGAACAUGGGAAGGAAGUACAGCUACCCUUGAUGUGCAAAGAACUUCACCUAGGAAGGAAAAAUCCAGCCUGGGGCACAACUGGCUAGGUGGCCGUGCUGCUGAAAAGGUUCCAGCAGAUCACGAAUUGAAUGCGAGUCACCAAUGUGCGAACAGCUGCGAAAAAGGCCGCUCUCCUCCUGGAAUGGAUUAACGGGAGUGUCGUAGUGACAUGGGAGGUAAUUGUCCUGCUCUCCUCAGCAUGGGUUCUGGGUACCACCCUGUAAUAAAGAUGUGAACAAAGUAGAGAGAAGCUGGAGG